rnacentral:lncRNA from 1 species
UUUGCAGGUUUUACACCCGUCGCGUGCCGUAAUCGAAACUAUGCUCAAAAACGGAUUCGAUUAACUAUGAUAUGCAAAAUUCAGCAAAAGUGACUGGGCUCUACCGUAACUUACGGUAGCCACCGGUUUUGAGGAUGAGGGAGCCACUGGGCAAAACUGGUCUGCCGUAAGGCAGUAGAAAACUGUCGUAACAAUUUAUUCGCUACCGUAAGUUACGGUGGCUACCUUAACUUACGGUAGCUUUCAAACUUAACAUCUGAAUUCACAAAUUAAUAGGCUUCGAGCC